CCAAUAGCGUAUAUUAAAGUUGCUGCAGUUAAAAAGCUCGUAGUUGAAUUUCGGGAUCAUCAUGUCGGUCGUGCCUCGGUACGUACUGGCAUCGUUGGUUUCUCCCUUCUGACGAACCAUGAUGUCAUUUAUUUGGUGUUGUGGGGAAUCAGGACUGUUACUUUGAAAAAAUUAGAGUGUUUAAAGCAGGCUCACGCUUGAAUACAUUAGCAUGGAAUAAUGAAAUAGGACGUUUGAUUCUAUUUUGUUGGUUUCUAGGAUCGACGUAAUGAUUAAUAGGGAUAGUUGGGGGCAUUAGUAUUCAAUUGUCAGAGGUGAAAUUCUUGGAUUUAUUGAAGACUAACUACUGCGAAAGCAUUUGCCAAGGAUGUUUUCAUUAAUCAAGAACGAAAGUUAGGGGAUCGAAGACGAUCAGAUACCGUCGUAGUCUUAACCAUAAACUAUGCCGACUAGGGAUCGGAUGAUGUUAAUUUUUUAAUGACUCAUUCGGCGCCUUACG
rnacentral:rRNA from 1 species